rnacentral:rRNA from 1 species
GAUGAACGCUGGCGGCGUGCCUAAUACAUGCAAGUCGAGCGAACGGACGAGAAGCUUGGUUCACUGAUGUUAGCGGCGGAAGGGAGAGUAACAUGUGGAUAACCUAACUAUAAGACAGGGAUAAGUUAGGGAAACCGGAGCUAAUACCGGAUAAUAUUUUGAACCGCAUGGUUGAAAAGUGAAAGACGGUCUUGCUGUCACUUCUAGCUGGAUCCGCGCUGCAUUAGCUAGUUGGUAAGGUAACGGCUUACGAAGGCCACGGUGGCUAGCCGACCCGGGAGGGGGUAGCGCCCCACAGGAAGUGAGAGGCGGUCCUGAGUCUGAGGGGAGGCAGCGGUAGGUACUCUUCGGCACUGGGCGGAAGCCUGACGGAUCAGCGCCACGUGGGUGAUGAAGGUCUUCGGAUCGGAUGACGCUGUUAUGAGGGAAGAACAUUUGUGGAAGGAACGGUGCUCAUCGUGACGGUACCUAAUCAGAAAGCCCCGGCUAACUACGUG